CUGCCCAAGAAGUGCCCAGACUACACAAACAACUGCACCUCAAACCAAAACUUCCAGACUUUUUUUCCUGGUGGAAAGAGCUGCUGUUCCCUUUUUUCAACCCUGCGCUGCAAUGGCCUUUCUCACGUCCU